AUUGAACGCUGGCGGCAGGCCUAACACAUGCAAGUCGAACGGUAACAGAAAGCAGCUUGCUGCUUUGCUGACGAGUGGCGGACGGGUGAGUAAUGUCUGGGAAACUGCCUGAUGGAGGGGGAUAACUACUGGAAACGGUAGCUAAUACCGCAUAACGUCGCAAGACCAAAGAGGGGGACCUUCGGGCCUCUUGCCAUCGGAUGUGCCCAGAUGGGAUUAGCUAGUAGGUGGGGUAAAGGCUCACCUAGGCGACGAUCCCUAGCUGGUCUGAGAGGAUGACCAGCCACACUGGAACUGAGACACGGUCCAGACUCCUACGGGAGGCAGCAGUGGGGAAUAUUGCACAAUGGGCGCAAGCCUGAUGCAGCCAUGCCGCGUGUAUGAAGAAGGCCUUCGGGUUGUAAAGUACUUUCAGCGGGGAGGAAGGGAGUAAAGUUAAUACCUUUGCUCAUUGACGUUACCCGCAGAAGAAGCACCGGCUAACUCCGUGCCAGCAGCGCCGUAA
rnacentral:rRNA from 1 species